CCAAGCUCAUCUGUUACCAUUACUGAAGAACCAACAUCCACAACAAAUGCUGUUGUUCUUUAUGAACGACCCAAACCGCAAUGGAGGCAUCUUGCGCCCAGAGUGGUUGAGGUAUCGUUGAACGCGCUUGACUUUGCAUUGAACGCAGCCAAGAUCUACUGUACCAGCAACGUCUGUACGAUUAUGUGACAAGAAGUGCCGGCCUGCCGGGUGUUCGAGUAUAUGGUAAACUUGAUUGGAGGCAUAGAUGUGUUCGGAGUCAUUCGACAUACAUGCACGAAUCUAAGGACGGUAUCGUAGAACUCACGUGUACUAUCAGUCGACUUUGGAUUCUUCGCUAUCCAAUUAGUAUUUGUUUCCGAGGCAUUAUUUUUAUUUGAGACAUCGACUCCACGGCCGCAGCCAUUCACUCAGUGCCGAAGUUUAUUGCCUUUGAACCUCGAUAAUUUGAGCUUUUAAGACUCUUCGGAUUUUGCCAUAUUGUUUUGGUUAUAAAUGACCUGUAGUACUAUUGUAUCACUUUCUUGAUAGAUAAUCGAAUUUCCUUACAGCUAUUUAUUUCUUGCCA